GUGCUCUCUCUGGCAGCACAUACAAUAAGAUUGGAAUGAUACAGAGAAGAUUAGUGUGGCCACAUUGCAAAAAUACAGUGGGUGUUUAAAAAACAAAAAUUUAUU
rfam:Fukomys damarensis contig147273, whole genome shotgun sequence.